GCCUGAAGAGCCUGGAGAUUCUCCGCGAGUGAUUUUGGGGUCAUCUGGUCAGCUAUUGCAGGCCAGUAGCUCAACUUCAACAAGUAUGUCCAUGUGAGAGAGAGAAAGAAAUGAUUGAGAUAGAGAAAGUGUCUGUUUGGAAACUAUUUGUCCACGUCAGCCAUCAAUUUUCCAAACCAAGAAGUUCGUGGGUCCCCUCUAUUUGUUCUAGUGGCCCCAAUUCUCACCUAGUGACAAACCAUUAAAAAUCAAAUCCAUCCAAGUAGGAUUUAACUAAGCAACAACAAAAGCAAUAACGUCAGCUGACAGACAACGCCCAGCACUUGCUCCUGCUUUCCUUUUCUCUCUUCUUUGGUUUUUGACCUUUCCAUGUAUAUAGCUUGUACUUUUUUGACAGACUGAAGCUCAAAUUAAAGCGUUUAAGCUGUAAAUUAGCGUGUUCUUAAGGCUUUGAUCCAAUCAAUUUCAACUCUGAAAUCACCUGGUCCUGAUCUAGUACCUGGGAUACCACCUUCCGCAUUAACAGAUAGGGACAUGCCAAGAAUACGAGAUUGAUUCAUUUCCAGCUUUGCAUCUAUCACAUUUCCUCUCCAUGUUGGCAAAUAUCGAGAAAGAGGAAUCUUUGCAAUAUACCAGUUGUCUUCGGGUACAAAAACAAAAGAUUGCCAUGAAUUAUCUUCCAGUUGGCCUGGUGAAUUUACCCAAUUCUCUGUAUAAAUAGUAGAUAUGUAGCAUCUUCCAGUUGGCCUGGUGAAUUUACCCAAUUCUCUGUAUAAAUAGUAGAUAUGUAGCAUCUUCCGUCACCUUUAAGCUUUAGAGCUAUUGUAUCAUAUGCGUCUAAAUCAAUAAAACCAUCAAACUUCUUGGAUCGCAUGCCACAGAAACCACUUCGAGUUAUAUUCCACUUUGAGCCCUCAGAUACCUCCAAUGAUAGAUUCCCAGAGAAAACCCCCUUUAGUCCAUUUNNNNNAUUUCCAGCAUCUGUGAUCUCCAAGGAAGCUGACGACAAACCUCCAUACUCAGAAUCUGAAUAUAGAUGCCAUUUUUUUAGCUCUUCCUUUGAAUUGAAAUUGAAAAUGAGCCUCUCACUUGGAGGCAUCAACUCUUCAAGAUUCCAUGUGAGGGCUUUCUUUGUUGCAUUCAAAG
rnacentral:misc_RNA from 1 species